CUGAGGGCUUAGCAGAGGAGACUUGACCUACUUUCUUGGGCUUGUUGUGACAUCUAUUUUGUUUAAGAAUUACAAUGUUCCUGAAAAGCCUCUUUCCUGAGAAGAACUACAACAGAUUUUCAUGAUAUCAAGAAGGCUUUAUGUUCCUGUAAGAAAGUUUGGCUGUAAGUUCCUAUCAAGAUUCUACAAGACUACAUGCGUGAGUCCAGCUGGUGCUCAUCUCCGUAAGAUCGUCAGUCCAGAACCCAGGCAAUGA
rnacentral:lncRNA from 1 species